AGUGGAUUAAAAUCACAGCCCACGUUGUGCCUGCACAAAAGUGGGCGGGUGAUUUUAAGACACGCCCCGACAUGAGCAUGAAGUGCCGCGAAGCAGCACGAGAAUGCGAAUGCCGGGAGGAUCGUGAGAACGCGAAGCGUGGAACGAUCCGUAAUUAU
rnacentral:sRNA from 1 species